rnacentral:rRNA from 1 species
UACAUAGGUGGCAAGCGUUGUCCGGAAUUACUGGGCGUAAAGCGUGCGCAGGCGGUUCGUUGUGUCGGCGGUGAAAGCCCCGGGCUUAACCUGGGAAUGGCCGUCGAAACUGGCGAACUGGAGUGUGGCAGAGGGGGGUCGAAUUCCGCGUGUAGCAGUGAAAUGCGUAGAGAUGCGGAGGAACACCGAUGGCGAAGGCAGCCCCCUGGGCUGACACUGACGCUCAGGCACGAAAGCGUGGGGAGCAAACAGG